UAUGUACUCCCUCCGUUCCAAAAUACUUGACUUCCAUUUGUCCAAAAAUGGAUGUACCUAUAUACUAAGACAUGUCUAGAUACAUAUAUAUUUUGACAAAUAGAAGGCAUGUAUUGUGCAACGGAGGGAGNUGACU
rnacentral:pre_miRNA from 1 species